CCUACGGGAGGCAGCAGUGAGGAAUCUUCCACAAUGGACGAAAGUCUGAUGGAGCGACACCGCGUGAAGGAUGAAGGCCUAACGGUUGUAAACUUCUUUUCUGAAGGAGCAUAAUGAGAGUACUUCAGGAAUAAGGGACGGCUAAAUACGUGCCAGCAGCCGCGGUAAUACGUAUGUCCCGAGCGUUACCCGGAAUCACUGGGUGUAAAGGGUUCGUAGGCGGAACUAUAAGUUAGAUAUGAAAGACCGGAGCUCAACUCCGUGUUUGUGUUUGAAACUGUAGUUCUAGAAUUAGGGAGAGGUAAGCGGAAUUCUAAGUGCAGGGGUGCAAUCCGUAGAUACUUAGAGGAACACCAAAGGCGAAGGCGGCUUACUGGAACUAUAUUGACGCUGAGGAACGAAAGCGUGGGGAGCGAAAAGGAUUAGAUACCCUUGUAGUC
rnacentral:rRNA from 1 species